GGUUAUAUGGUGUAGUGGUUUGAGCAUUGGACUAUGACUCUAGAGACAAGGGUUCAAAUCUCUAGUUGGCUA